rnacentral:rRNA from 1 species
UACGUAGGGACCAAGCGUUGUUCGGAUUUACUGGGCGUAAAGGGCGCGUAGGCGGCGUGACAAGUCACUUGUGGAAAUCUCCGGGCUUAACUCGGAACGGCCAAGUGAAACUGUCAUGCUAGAGUGCAGAAGGGGCAAUCGGAAUCUUGGUGUAGCGGUGAAAUGCGUAGAUAUCAAGAGGGAACACCUGGAGGUGAAGACGGGUUGCUGGGCUGACACGUGACGGCUGAGGCGCGAAAGCCCAGGGGGAGCAAACGGGG